UGGGUCCCACCACUGAUGGCAUCAAGGAGUGACAGAGAGACCCUUGGUAUUGUUCUCCUUCCUCAAUACUAAGGGUCUCUCUGAUGUUUCUGCUUGCAUCUUACACUCAAUUGGUAA
rnacentral:precursor_RNA from 12 species